CCGCCGCGCAGCCAAUCCGCGGGCCCCACCUCGAUCCCGCCAGCCAAUCGAGGCAGGGGGCGGAGCCACCCGUAAGAUAGGCGUUGCGGUGGGAAGGGAAAACCCAGCAGGCUCUGUUCGCGAGAUCUGGGCUCUAGGCUCACGGCAAGGAAACCAGGGCCCCCACUCCUGGUUGCAGCGUACCUGCGUGCACACUUUAGCAAAUAUUCCCGAAGAGGGGGUGGGGAGGUGACGGCUGCCUUGGGCGUGGGGAGAGUGAGCCCUGCGGUGUAAUGGAAAAAACGGAUUCUGGAGGUGGACUUACUGAGGCAAACAUGACUGUUCCCUGGGUUGCUCCUGAAGUCAGCCUUCUGGAAAGUUCCUCUGAGGAAGAAGUGAAUUGUUGAUCCACCCAAGUUUCCCAACCCCAGCCGCCAAGGACCUGGUGGCACUGGUCAGGAGUCCUCAUGCUGGUGAGGAGUGGGGACUAGCGUCUUACACAAUGCUUCUGCAUUCCUGUCAGAAGAGGCCAGCACUCUUGGGCUUGGAUUCCUGGAGCAGAAUGAGAAAACUAAAGAUGCAAUCAAGACAUUCCAACAUAUUACACAGGGAGAGAGCAGCUGCUGUGGCUGGAGGGCAGGUGUGAGGAAGAGACCCACUCCACCUACGCCCCGCACAAGCAAGGUGAGACCAGCCAUCCAGCCCAACACAGCUCCCACCCAGCUUAGACAGUUGAUAACUCACAUUGACUGCAAAAGCUGGAAGCAAACCUGCUCAGUGAGGGUCUCCUUCAGAUGGGAGACAACUCCAGAAAUAGGGUCCACUCUGUGGCCUCAUCACCAAAA